GGCAUGGUGGCUCAGUGGCUAGAGCACCCGCCUCAUGAACGGGAGGUCGUGGGUUCGAACCCAGGCCGAGUCA
rnacentral:tRNA from 1 species